CACAUCACAUUGAAACACUUUCCUGUAUGAUCACUGAAGUUAAGCAAGGUCAAGCCUUCUUAGUACCUAGAUGGGUGACUGCUUGGGAAUGCCAAGUGUUGUAA